rnacentral:rRNA from 1 species
GACGAACGCUGGCGGCGUGCCUAAUACAUGCAAGUCGAGCGCAGGAAACUGACGGAACUCUUCGGAGGGAAGGCAGUGGAAUGAGCGGCGGACGGGUGAGUAACACGUAAGGAACCUGCCUCAAGGAUUGGGAUAACUCCGAGAAAUCGGAGCUAAUACCGGAUAGUUCAACGGACCGCAUGGUCCGCUGAUGAAAGGCGCUUCGGCGUCACCUUGAGAUGGCCUUGCGGUGCAUUAGCUAGUUGGUGGGGUAACGGCCCACCAAGGCGACGAUGCAUAGCGGACCUGAGAGGGUGAUCGGCCACACUGGGACUGAGACACGGCCCAGACUCCUACGGGAGGCAGCAGUAGGGGAUCUUCCACAAUGGACGAAAGUCUGAUGGAGCAACGCCGCGUGAGUGAUGAAGGUUUUCGGAUCGUAAAACUCUGUUGUAAGGGAAGAACACGUACGAGAGGAAAUGCUCGUACCUUGACGGUACCUUACGAGAAAGCCACGGCUAACUACGUGCCAGCCGCCGCGGUAACAC